UGCACUCACAACUGAAAGUCGCUUUGGAUAAGAGUGUCUGCUAAAUGACUAAAA
rfam:Salmo salar isolate Sally breed double haploid chromosome ssa06, whole genome shotgun sequence.